CCUCCCAAAGUGCUGGGAUUACAGGCGUGAGCCACGGCGCCCGGCCCACUGGGAUUGGUUCUAAGCAUCCUCUGCCCGGGCCACACUCAGGCCAGUAAAAUCCCAGUCUCUGGGGGUGGUGUCUGGGCAGGAAUGUUUUAGAGUCUCUCCCCAGGUGACUCUACCAUUCAGCAAGGAUUGAGAGCCCUUGGGACCCACCUGACCUGCCUGCCUGAGUUUGGGUGACCAUGCUUCUGUGUGGGCGGUGCCACUGCUGCCUGUCCCUUUCUCGGAGAGGCCUCACGGCCGAGGCGUGCGUUCUUUUUUCCCGGCACCGUCACCACCCGUGUUGUCCUCACUUGAAAGGUGGCCAUUUGAGAUCUACAGGACCGUGCCUAGUUCACAGAUGGGGCGGCCACUAACAUUCUUACGGUCUUCACCUUGCGCUAGAACUUUCCAGGGUGAGACCUUUCUGUGCCCUUUCUACGUCACCUGGAGCCCGUGACGCCCGCUCAUCUGUCUGGCUGGAAUCGCCGCCUGGCCCCUCACCACGGUUAUUGCCUUUCGUGCCGAGUUGCCCGGGUUUGCUGUGUUAUUGGCUCGUUUUUCAUUCUGCAUCUGCAGUAGCCAGACUUGGAGAUGAAAAGCAUGUGGCGCCUAACCAUGAUGAAAGAGGGGCGCCUGCGAGUGCCUGAGCGUCUGAAAAGGACCUUUUAGAGGCGGAGGAGCAGAGGAGGAGAGUGACUGCGGGCUCAGCUGGCCCCGUGGCCCCGUGGCCCCGUGGUCUGGAUGGCGUGGCUGGAGUCUGGCCUCUCAGAGCCGAGGCUUCCCGAGCUGUGAGGCGAGAGAGAGAGAGAGAUUCACCUUGCAGAGUUCUACGGCGCGGCACGGAGCGGCCAUUCCAUAAGCAUCGUUGCCGUAGCUGUAAUAUGUUAUCACUAUAACGUAUAUCUAUGAGUCAUAAAAUAAUAGAACUAUU
rnacentral:lncRNA from 1 species